GCGGGUGUGGCGGAAUUGGCAGACGCGCUAGAUUUAGGUUCUAGUGGGCAACCCCGUGCAGGUUCAAGUCCUGUCACCCGCA
rnacentral:tRNA from 6 species